GACGAACGCUGGCGGCGUGCUUAACACAUGCAAGUCGAACGGAAAGGCCCUGCUUUUGUGGGGUGCUCGAGUGGCGAACGGGUGAGUAACACGUGAGUAACCUGCCCUUGACUUUGGGAUAACUUCAGGAAACUGGGGCUAAUACCGGAUAGGAGCUCCUGCUGCAUGGUGGGGGUUGGAAAGUUUCGGCGGUUGGGGAUGGACUCGCGGCUUAUCAGCUUGUUGGUGGGGUAGUGGCUUACCAAGGCUUUGACGGGUAGCCGGCCUGAGAGGGUGACCGGCCACAUUGGGACUGAGAGACGGCCCAGACUCCUACGGGAGGCAGCAGUGGGGAGUAUUGCACAAUGGGCGGAAGCCUGAUGCAGCAACGCCGCGUGCGGGAUGACGGCCUUCGGGUUGUAAACCGCUUUCGCCUGUGACGAAGCGUGAGUGACGGUAAUGGGUAAAGAAGCACCGGCUAACUACGUG
rnacentral:rRNA from 1 species